UUUUUUACCACUUUUUAAUGGACCAUUUUUUAAAUGUUUAUGAUUUUUCCAAAACUUUGAUUAUUAGAAGUUUAUGUAGUAGAUUUUAUAUUUGUAAUACAGUGUCUUCAUUAUAGAUUUUCUUUCUCUCUUUUUUUUCUUUUUUAAUGAAGGUAUUCUGUAUGCUGGAAUAAUGCUGACCAAGGAUGGCCCAAAAGUUCUAGAGUUUAAUUGCCGUUUUGGUGAUCCAGAGUGCCAAGUGGGUAAAAAUAUCAAAGUAUUACUUAGUAGAAGAUAUGUGUUAUUUUAAUCUUGGAAUUUAUCAGCCUGGAAGUAAUUUCCUUUGAAAAAUUCAUGCAAGUUCUGCUAGUACCCCAGUGAAUAAAAUGUUUAAGGAAAACUAAAAUUUAUCCUACUUGCCAUGUGGAUUAUGUUUUUCCAGGUAAUCCUCCCACUUCUUAAAAGUGAUCUUUAUGAAGUGAUUCAGUCCACCUUAGAUGGACUGCUCUGCACAUCUCUGCCUGUUUGGCUAGAAAACCACACCGCCCUAACUGUUGUCAUGGCAAGUAAAGGUUAUCCUGGAGACUACACCAAGGGUGUAGAGAUAACAGGGUUUCCUGAGGCUCAAGCUCUAGGACUGGAGGUGUUCCACGCAGGCACUGCCCUAAAAAAUGGCAAAGUAGUAACUCAUGGGGGUAGAGUUCUUGCAGUCACAGCCAUCCGGGAAAAUCUCGUAUCAGCCCUCGAGGAAGCCAAGAAAGGACUAGCUGCUAUAAAGUUUGAGGGAGCAAUUUAUAGGAAAGACAUCGGCUUUCGUGCCAUAGCUUUCCUCCAGCAGCCCAGGGGUUUGACUUACAAGGAAUCUGGAGUAGACAUCGCAGCUGGAAAUAUGCUGGUCAAGAAAAUUCAGCCUUUAGCAAAAGCCACUUCCAGAU
rnacentral:sRNA from 1 species